UACGGAGGGGGCUAGCGUUGUUCGGAAUUACUGGGCGUAAAGCGCGCGUAGGCGGCUUUGUAGGUUAGAGGUGAAAGCCCGGAGCUCAACUCCGGAAUUGCCUUUAAGACUGCAUCGCUAGAAUCAUGGAGAGGUUAGUGGAAUUCCGAGUGUAGAGGUGAAAUUCGUAGAUAUUCGGAAGAACACCAGUGGCGAAGGCGACUAACUGGACAUGUAUUGACGCUGAGGUGCGAAAGCGUGGGGAGCAAACAGG
rnacentral:rRNA from 1 species